GACGAACGCUGGCGGCGUGCUUAACACAUGCAAGUCGAACGGAAAGGCCCUGCUUUUGUGGGGUGCUCGAGUGGCGAACGGGUGAGUAACACGUGAGUAACCUGCCCUUGACUUUGGGAUAACUUCAGGAAACUGGGGCUAAUACCGGAUAGGAGCUCCUGCUGCAUGGUGGGGGUUGGAAAGUUUCGGCGGUUGGGGAUGGACUCGCGGCUUAUCAGCUUGUUGGUGGGGUAGUGGCUUACCAAGGCUUUGACGGGUAGCCGGCCUGAGAGGGUGACCGGCCACAUUGGGACUGAGAUACGGCCCAGACUCCUACGGGAGGCAGCAGUGUGGAUUAUUGCACAAUGGGCGGAAGCCUGAUGCAGCAACGCCGCGUGCGGGAUAACGGCCUUCGGGUUGUAAACCGCUUUCUCCUGUGACGAAGCGUGAGUGACGGUAAUGGGUAAAGAAGCACCGGCUAACUACGUG
rnacentral:rRNA from 1 species